CUAUAUGAUUUGUAUUGGAUCUGCCAAACGCAGAUAGUCAGUUUCUAUAUCGUUUCACGAACGGCACUUUUGCGAGCCGUUCGUGAAACGAAUGAACUAUCUGCCAAUAGCCCACACACUAAGAGACGUGUGGCGCUUGUUAACCGAUUGCAACACUGUUGCAAUCGGUAAUUAGAGGCUCUCCUAGGUGGCCACCGUUCGACUACCGACCAUGCGGCGGUCGGCCAUGUUG